AGAAUGAACGCUAGCGAUAUGCUUAACACAUGCAAGUUGAACGUUGUUUUCGAAUCAGAAUGAGAACAAAGUAGCGAACGGGUGCGUAACACGUGGGAAUCUGCCGAACAGUUUGGGCCAAAUCCCGAAUGAAUAAAAGCUAAAAAGCGCUGUUUGAUGAGCCCACGUAGUAUUAGGUAGUUGGUUAGGUAAAAGCUGACCAAGCCUACGAUGCUUAGCUGGUCUUUUCGGAUGAUCAGCCACACUGGGACUGAGACACGGCCCAGACUCCUACGGGAGGCAGCAGUGGGGAAUCUUGGACAAUGGGCGAAAGGCCUGAUCCGGCAAUAUGGCGUGAGUGAAGAAGGGCAACGCAGCUUGUAAAGCUCUUUCAUCGAGUGUGCGAUUGUGACAAGACUCGAAUAAGAAGCCCCGGCUAACUCCGUGCCAGCAGCCGC
rnacentral:rRNA from 1 species